GAUGAACGCUGGCGGCGUGCUUAACACAUGCAAGUCGAACGAAGCACCUCUCCCGAAGAUUGACACAGCUUGCUGUAGAUUGAUUCAUUUUAGGUGACUGAGUGGCGGACGGGUGAGUAACGCGUGGGUAACCUGCCUCAUAGAGGGGGACAACAGUUGGAAACGACUGCUAAUACCGCAUAGUAAGAAGAAUUCGCAUGUUUUCUUCUUGAAAGAUUUAUCGCUAUGAGAUGGACCCGCGUCUGAUUAGCUAGUUGGUAAGGUAACGGCUUACCAAGGCGACGAUCAGUAGCCGGCGUGAGAGAGUGAACGGCCACAUUGGGAAUGAGACACGGCCCAAACUCCUACGGGAGGCAGCAGUGGGGAAUAUUGCACAAUGGGGGAAACCCUGAUGCAGCGACGCCGCGUGAGUGAAGAAGUAGUUCGGGAUGUAAAGCUCUAUCAGAAGGGAAGAUAAUGACGGUACCUGACUAAGAAGCCCCGGCUAACUACGUG
rnacentral:rRNA from 1 species